UUGAACAUAGCCAGGAACCAGA
rnacentral:miRNA from 1 species